GGGGCAUUAGCUCAGUUGGUAGAGCGCGUCGUUCGCAAUGACGAGGUCAGGAGUUCGAAUCUCCUAUGCUCCA
rnacentral:tRNA from 1 species